AACGAACGCUGGCGGCAUGCCUAACACAUGCAAGUCGAACGAGAUCUUCGGGUCUAGUGGCGCACGGGCGCGUAACGCGUGGGAAUCUGCCCUUUGGUUCGGAAUAACAGUUGGAAACGACUGCUAAUACCGGAUGAUGACGAAAGUCCAAAGAUUUAUCGCCAGAGGAUGAGCCCGCGUAGGAUUAGCUAGUUGGUGUGGUAAAGGCGCACCAAGGCGACGAUCCUUAGCUGGUCUGAGUGGAUGAUCAGCCACACUGGGACUGAGACACGGCCCAGACUCCUACGGGAGGCAGCAGUGGGGACUAUUGGACAAUGGGCGAAAGCCUGAUCCAGCAAUGCCGCGUGAGUGAUGAAGGCCUUAGGGUUGUAAAGCUCUUUUACCCGGGAUGAUAAUGACAGUACCGGGAGAAUAAGCUCCGGCUAACUCCGUGCCAGCCGCCGCGGUAA
rnacentral:rRNA from 1 species